rnacentral:rRNA from 1 species
UACGGGGGGGGUAAGCGUUGUUCGGAAUUACUGGGCGUAAAGGGCUCGUAGGCGGCCAACUAAGUCGGACGUGAAAUCCCUCAGCUUAACUGGGGAACUGCGUCCGAUACUGGAUGGCUUGGAUUUGGGAGAGGGAUGCGGAAUUCCAGGUGUAGCGGUGAAAUGCGUAGACAUCUGGAGGAACACCUGCGGCGAAGGCGGGUUGCUGGGCCGACACUGACGCUGAGGCGCGAAAGCCAGGGGAGCAAACGGG